AGUGAACGCUGGCGGUAGGCCUAACACAUGCAAGUCGAACGGAAGCACAGUAAGAGCUUGCUCUUACGGGUGGCGAGUGGCGGACGGGUGAGGCAUACAUCGGAAUCUACUUUUUCGUGGGGGAUAACGUAGGGAAACUUACGCUAAUACAGCAUACGACGUACGGGUGAAAGCAGGGGAUCUUCGGACCUUGCGCGACUGAAUGAGCCGAUGUCGGAUUAGCUAGUUGGCGGGGUAACGGCCCACCAAGGCGACGAUCCGUAGCUGGUCUGAGAGGAUGAUCAGCCACACUGGAACUGAGACACGGUCCAGACUCCUACGGGAGGCAGCAGUGGGGAAUAUUGGGCAAUGGGCGCAAGCCUGAUCCAGCCAUACCGCGUGGGUGAAGAAGGCCUUCGGGUUGUAAAGCCCUUUUGUUGGGAAAGAAAAGCAGCAGGUUAAUACCCCGCUGUUCUGACGGUACCCAAAGAAUAAGCACCGGCUAACUUCGUG
rnacentral:rRNA from 1 species